GACGAACGCUGGCGGCGUGCCUAAUACAUGCAAGUAGAACGCUGACUACUUUAGCUUGCUAGAGUAGAAGGAGUUGCGAACGGGUGAGUAACGCGUAGGUAACCUGCCUACUAGCUGGGGAUAACUAUUGGAAACGAUAGCUAAUACCGCAUAACAGUGUUUAACACAUGUUAGAUGCUUGAAAGAUGCAAUUGCAUCACUAGUAGAUGGACCUGCGUUGUAUUAGCUAGUUGGAGGGGUAACGGCCCACCAAGGCGACGAUACAUAGCCGACCUGAGAGGGUGAUCGGCCACACUGGGACUGAGACACGGCCCAGACUCCUACGGGAGGCAGCAGUAGGGAAUCUUCGGCAAUGGGGGCAACCCUGACCGAGCAACGCCGCGUGAGUGAAGAAGGUUUUCGGAUCGUAAAGCUCUGUUGUAAGAGAAGAACGUGUGUGAGAGUGGAAAGUUCACACAGUGACGGUAACUUACCAGAAAGGGACGGCUAACUACGUGCCAGCCGCCGCCGUAA
rnacentral:rRNA from 1 species